rnacentral:rRNA from 1 species
UACGGAGGGUCCGAGCGUUAUCCGGAUUUAUUGGGUUUAAAGGGUUCGUAGGCGGUAAUUUAAGUCAGUGGUGAAAUCCUGCAGCUCAACUGUAGAACUGCCAUUGAAACUGAAUUACUUGAGUACACUUGAGGUAGGCGGAAUAUGUAGUGUAGCGGUGAAAUGCUUAGAUAUUGGGAAGAACAUCAGUGGCGAAAGCAGAUUACUAACAAUAUACUGACGCUGAGGGACGAAAGCGUGGGUAGCGAACAGG